AUGAACUUAAUGACAAGAAGACAGCAUUUGAUUUAACUUUCAGAGACAUCACGGGUGGUGCGAGUGAUGAUUUAACAAAUGCUCCACAUCUUGGAAUGAAACAUUGAACUUCUCAGUAGAUGUUUCCGUUAGCGAGCGUUAAUCGCUUGGCGUCUUUGACGCUCUGAGGCAAUUUGCGUGAGUAAAUUGUAAAAAAAGGUGGAACCACGUUUAGUUAUCGUCCUUUCA
rnacentral:ncRNA from 1 species